rnacentral:rRNA from 1 species
AGCGAACGUUAGCGGCGCGCCUAACACAUGCAAGUCGCACGAGAAAGGGAGCAAUCCCCGGUACAGUGGCGCACGGGUGAGUAACACGUAGAUGACCUUCCCUGGAGUGGUGGAUAACCUGCCGAAAGGCGGGCUAAUACAGCAUGGGACCACAUGGUUUUGACCGAGUGGUGAAAGCGGGCCUCUGUUCACAAGCUCGCGCUCUGGGAUGGGUCUGCGUCCCAUCAGCUAGUUGGUGAGGUAAUGGCUCACCAAGGCAUCGACGGGUAGCUGGUCUGAGAGGAUGACCAGCCACACUGGAACUGAGACACGGUCCAGACUCCUACGGGAGGCAGCAGUGGGGAAUCUUGCGCAAUGGGCGAAAGCCUGACGCAGCGACGCCGCGUGGUGAUGAAGGCCUCGGUUGUAAGACC